AGUGAACGCUGGCGGUAGGCCUAACACAUGCAAGUCGAACGGCAGCGCAGUAAGAGCUUGCUCUUACGGGUGGCGAGUGGCGGACGGGUGAGGAAUACAUCGGAAUCUACUUUUUCGUGGGGGAUAACGUAGGGAAACUUACGCUAAUACCGCAUACGACCUACGGGUGAAAGCAGGGGAUCUUCGGACCUUGCGCGAUUGAAUGAGCCGAUGUCGGAUUAGCUAGUUGGCGGGGUAAAGGCCCACCAAGGCGACGAUCCGUAGCUGGUCUGAGAGGAUGAUCAGCCACACUGGAACUGAGACACGGUCCAGACUCCUACGGGAGGCAGCAGUGGGGAAUAUUGGACAAUGGGCGCAAGCCUGAUCCAGCCAUACCGCGUGGGUGAAGAAGGCCUGCGGGUUGUAAAGCCCUUUUGUUGGGAAAGAAAAGCAGCAGGUUAAUACCCCGCUGUUCGGACGGUACCCAAAGAAUAGCACCGGCUAACUUCGUG
rnacentral:rRNA from 1 species